UGCCCAGUGAUGACACCCAUCCUUGCUCCCCAUGCCCCCAGGGGCUGUGGGCGACACCAUAGCUGCCCCAGGCUAGGCUGAGGCCUGGGGUCUGAGGGCA